CUGGGAAAAGCAAAGUGGAGAGCCACGGAGCCCCUCCCGGCGCUCCCAGCCGCUCGCUUGUUUUCCAAGCUGUUUCCGUGGCCCCGGCUGACCCCAGCACUGGGUUUGAGCCGCUCGCUCCUUGUCCUCAUUUAGCCCGGCGGAAAGGCAGAGCCGUGGCAGGGCUGUGUUGCAGGGAACCCAUCCCUGCUUCCAUGGGCCUCUCAGGGACCCCCAGGGCUGCAAUCCUGCUCUGGAUGCCAUUGGGACAAGCAUUUCAUCCUCUUUACCAUCUCGCAGGGAACAAGCCGGUUUAAUGACACGUAUCUACGCUGCUCCAGCACCAGGAGCAUGCAAUAGGGACGGGGGAUUUUUCUCCACCAGGAAACAUCUCCAUCCCCAUCCUCUCCGGUGAGGCUCCGGGAAAAGCAUUUUCCCAGCCCAGCCAAGCUGCAAGCAAUGGGAAAGCCGAUCAAAGCAAGGGGAAAAGAGAGGGAACCAAAGGUGUUUGGGAUGCACGGAGCAAAGGGGAGGGUUGGAACAUUCAUCCCCGCGCACGCAAGCGGCCCCUGAGGUCCCACUCCGGCCAGGCAAAAGGAGGAACCUGCGGGGCACAGCACUGUGGGACGCUGAGCACCAGCAGGGCCGGAUCAGCUCCUCGGGAGCUGCACAGCCGAGCCAGGGCUGGCGUUCCCAUUGCGGCACCGAGCCGGGAACCAGCAUUUGGCAAGAGGAAAGGGGGAACGGCUUGCCAGGCUGCGUCAGGGCUGCUCCGGCCGGCAGCGAGGGAGGGGAGAAGAGCUCUUGAAAGGGAAAAAAAAAAAAGGGAAAAAAACGUGGCGCUAUUUUUGUUUCUUGGAGCAGCUUCAGUCCAACACAGCUGACUCCUCUCGUGUGGGCGCUCAGCUACCAGAUUGGCGCUGCGGCCGGCCGGGCAAUGCCAAAAGAACGGCUGGAGGCAAGCGGUGCUCCGGCAGGAAGGGAAGGGAUGGAAAGGAUAAAAAGGAGAGGAAGGGAUAAAAAGGAGGCAAAGGGGAAAGGAGAAGAGAGGAAGGGGAAAGGAAAGAAAAAGAAAGAAGGUAAAGGAAAGAAGGGACACGGACUCACCUGGGAAGGAAGAGGAAAGUGCGUGGGCUGUGGCAGAAACGCCUGAGGCUGUGCUGAGCCCCUCCCUGUGCCCGCAGCGCUUUG
ensembl:lncRNA